rnacentral:lncRNA from 1 species
AGAAGGACAGACACUCCGAGCGCCCAGGCCACUGGAACUCAGGGGGUCCCAAUCCCCAACAACCAGUCCCCAUUCUAGGCAGCCCCCACUUAACUUGGGUGUGAGCCAGUCCUGGUUCUGAACCACAGCCACAGAAUGGCUAAGGGGUGUGAGUGUCUCAGUUUCCUCACCCUGAAAUGAGGCUAUUCUUGUCUCCACCCCAUGGGUUGUCCAAUCCAGUCACGUAACAUAAGGUUUUUGGUUUUUUGGUUUUUGAAACAGGGUCUCACUCUGUUGCCCAGGCUGGAGUGCAGUGGCACAAUUAUGGCUCACUGCAGCCUCAACCUCCUGGGCUCAAGUGAUCCUCCCA